GACGAACGCUGGCGGCGUGCUUAACACAUGCAAGUCGAACGGUGAAGCUCCAGCUUGCUGGAGUGUAUCAGUGGCGAACGGGUGAGUAACACGUGAGCAACCUGCCCCUGACUCUGGAAUAAGCGCUGGAAACGGCGUCUAAUACUGGAUACGAGAAGGGUCCGCAUGGGCACUUUCUGGAAAGUUUUUCGGUUGGGGAUGGGCUCGCGGCCUAUCAGCUUGUUGGUGAGGUAAUGGCUCACCAAGGCGACGACGGGUAGCCGGCCUGAGAGGGCGACCGGCCACACUGGGACUGAGACACGGCCCAGACUCCUACGGGAGGCAGCAGUGGGGAAUAUUGCACAAUGGGCGAAAGCCUGAUGCAGCGACGCCGCGUGAGGGAUGACGGCCUUCGGGUUGUAAACCUCUUUCAGCAGGGAAGAAGCGAAAGUGACGGUACCUGCAGAAGAAGCACCGGCUAACUACGU
rnacentral:rRNA from 1 species